GUUCCCACGGGCCGCGCGCCCGCUCCUCUUCCUUUUCUGGGGAGAAAAGGGCAGGAUUCCUGGGUUCUCCCCCGGGGGGGGGGAAAGGGGUUACAUCCUGAUCAAAAUGCAUCUUUAACCUUCUGCGGAUCAGCUACAAAGAAAUUUGGACUGAGAGUCUCCUCUCCAAACAAAAAAAAAGGCAUAUUUUCCAGAUGUGGAGCGAUUCUUCCCUUUUCCAAUAAAAAAGCACCUGCUCCCUA